GAUGAAGAACGUAGCGAAAUGCGAUAAGUAAUGUGAAUUGCAGAAUUCAGUGAAUCAUCGAAUCUUUGAACGCACAUUGCCCCCGUCAGUAUUCUGGCGGGCAUGCCUGUUCGAGCGUCAUUACGCCCCUCAAGUCCCCUGUGGACUUGGUGUUGGGGAUCGGCGAGGCUGGUUUUCCAGCACAGCCGUCCCUUAAAUUAAUUGGCGGUCUCGCCGUGGCCCUCCUCUGCGCAGUAGUAAAACACUCGCAACAGGAGCCCGGCGCGGUCCACUGCCGUAAAACCCCCCAACUUUUUAUAGUUGACCUCGAAUCAGGUAGGACUACCCGCUGAACUUAAGCAUAUCAAUAAGCGGAGGA
rnacentral:misc_RNA from 1 species